ensembl:lncRNA
GAGGGCCUAGAGGAGCUAUCCCACGUUGAAGGUCAGGAAGGGCAGCAGUGAGGAGAUACUCCUCGUCCAAGGUAAGGAGCAGUGGCUGCGCUUUGCUGGAGCAGCUGUGAAGAGAUACCCCACGCCCAAGGAUGCCUCCUUGAUAGAGAAACGUCCAUGCAUCACAAAGAUUAGCCAAGACUUGGCUGGACAAAGUAAACCAACAACCUCCCGUGUAAUGCUCUGGCCCAGGGAUGAGCUGGAACCAGGGCCAAGAACUUGUGUCUUUGAGAUGCCAGCUCUUCAUUGGUGAACACUCACUAGGACCUCGUUCCAGCAGGAAAGUCACCAACAGAUGGUUCUGCUUUGCAGCAUAAUGGAAACUUAGGCCCACUUUCCUCUCUUUUAAAGUGUGUGCCAGCACCAGCCAUUCUUGGAAGGAAAGGAUACCCAAGGAAAAGGAGUUAAGAGCCAAGAGUGUAAUUCAUGUCCAUCCCUCAGUGCUGGAGAUCCCUGGUCAGAAGAGCAUGGAGGCUUCCCAGGUGGCGCUGGUGGUAAAGAACAUGCUUGCCAGUGCAAGAGAUAUUGAUCCUCUGUGUGCUGCUGGUGCUAUUGCUUGGAGAGGAGGAGGCUGGCCUGCCUCUGAGAGCUCCCAGUCCUGGUCCCCAGGCCAAGCACAGCCUCAGACCCCCUGAGCCAGAUUCACCAGGGGCUCCUGCUCUGAGAUGCAUUGAAUCAGCGUCUGCAAUGUCAGUCCUGGUGUCUGCGUGCUUGAAGGCAGAUGCCGAGAGUUUUACACACACUUGGGCUUCAGGCUUGGGCACCAUUUUGGAGAUGCUGAGGAGCUUGCGUCCUCCAAGUGAGCCAAAAGUUCUCCUCACGGGAGCAUCCCAAGUGCUUCGCCGACAUUCCUUCCCUUCAUUAGUGUUUUUGGUUUCCGUUGGAGCCACUCAGCCAGGGACUUGCUCAGGAAAGCAGAUGCGGAUGCUGCUGUCACUCCAUCUUCCAGGAAUGUGGGAGGUCAUCCUGGGCGUCCUCCAUCUUCUGAGAAGUGGGCUGUCCUGCUGAUUGAGACAGUGAGAACCCCCAGAACAACUGGGUGGUUUCCAAGGGCUGCACAGGCCCCAGGUCCUGAAAGCAGCACUUAUGGCAGUUGCCGAGGAGAACAGAACACCUUGCAGAGAGCCCCAAGCUGGAGGAGAUGGCAAUCACAGUAGAAUCUAUAUAAAGGAGGGCCUGGAAGCAGUCGAGCUGGACAGAGGCUCUGUGAGGUGGAAACUAUCUUGCACCUCCUGCCAGGCUGAGAAAACUCGAGUUGUCCAUCUCAAAUGCAGGGUCAGGUGUGCAGAUGGAGAAUUGGAGUCAGCACCACAGGCCCUGGUGGUUGAGGGAAUGAGCCUCCUCUCAGGUCCAACCUAAUGAGCCACACAGGAGUGCAUCCUGGGCUGAAAAGAACCUCUGAUUUUUUUCACAGAAAUUGAAAAUCCUGAUUUCGUAUAAAAUCUCCCAAUAUUUAAUAAAAUGUUGGCAACUAAUUUAAUUUACAAACAAUAUUCACAGCCAAAUCACUAUGUCUGCUAGCCAAAUGUAGCCUGUGGCUGUUUGUGGCCCCUGUCAUUGGCUUUAUCUAAGAGGCAACAGCUCCAUGAGGAGUGAGCAUGGGCUUGGUCAGAACCAUGCCCUCUAGUGGGCAGCCUCACAGGCCAGGGCUGAAGGCCAGACCCCUCAGAACUGACAGGACAGACGCUGGGGUGUGGGGAGGGAUAAUCUAACCUUCGAGGACCCAGCUGCAUGGGGGCAUGCUUGGCUAGGAGCCUUCCUUUAUACUUUCAACAAAUAUCUGACUAUCUGCUCUAUGCCAGGCAUGGGAUUUGGUAGUAUAUUAACUUUCUAUGACUGCUAUAACAAAUCACCACCAAUUUGCUGGCUUAAAAAAGUUUUCUCAGAGUUCUCUCUCACAGUUCUCUCUCACAGUUCCCUCACAGUUCCCUCACAGUUCUCUCUCACAGUUCCCUCACAGUUCCCUUACAGUUCUCUCUCACAGUUCUCUCUCACAGUUCUCUCUCACAGUUCCCUCACAGUUCCCUCACAGUUCUCUCACAGUUCUCUCU